rnacentral:rRNA from 1 species
CCUACGGGUGGCAGCAGUGGGGAAUAUUGCACAAUGGGGGAAACUCUGAUGCAGCGACGCCGCGUGAGUGAAGAAGUAUCUCGGUAUGUAAAGCUCUAUUAGCAGGGAAGUAAAUGACGGUACCUGAUUAAGAAGCUCCGGCUAAAUACGUGCCAGCAGCCGUGGUAAUACGUAGGGGGCAAGCGUUAUCCGGAUUAACUGGGUGUAAAGGGAGCGUAGGCGGCAGCACAAGUCUGGAGUGAAAUGCCGGGGCUUAACCCCGGAACUGCAUUGGAAACUGUGCAGCUAGAGUGCAGGAGAGGUAAGUGGAAUUCCUGGUGUAGCGGUGAAAUGCGUAGAUAUUAGGAAGAACACCAGUGGCGAAGGCAGCUUACUGGACUGUAACUGACGUUGAGGCUCGAAAGCGUGGGGAGCAAACAGGAUUAGAUACCCUUGUAGUC